rnacentral:rRNA from 1 species
AGAGUUUGAUCCUGGCUCAGGACGAACGCUGGCGGCGUGCCUAAUACAUGCAAGUAGAACGCUGAAGGAGGAGCUUGCUUCUCUGGAUGAGUUGCGAACGGGUGAGUAACGCGUAGGUAACCUGCCUGGUAGCGGGGGAUAACUAUUGGAAACGAUAGCUAAUACCGCAUAAGAGUAGAUGUUGCAUGACAUUUGCUUAAAAGGUGCACUUGCAUCACUACCAGAUGGACCUGCGUUGUAUUAGCUAGUUGGUGGGGUAACGGCUCACCAAGGCGACGAUACAUAGCCGACCUGAGAGGGUGAUCGGCCACACUGGGACUGAGACACGGCCCAGACUCCUACGGGAGGCAGCAGUAGGGAAUCUUCGGCAAUGGACGGAAGUCUGACCGAGCAACGCCGCGUGAGUGAAGAAGGUUUUCGGAUCGUAAAGCUCUGUUGUAAGAGAAGAACGAGUGUGAGAGUGGAAAGUUCACACUGUGACGGUAUCUUACCAGAAAGGGACGGCUAACUACGUGCCAGCAGCCGCGGUAAUACGUAGGUCCCGAGCGUUGUCCGGAUUUAUUGGGCGUAAAGCGAGCGCAGGCGGUUAGAUAAGUCUGAAGUUAAAGGCUGUGGCUUAACCAUAGUAGGCUUUGGAAACUGUUUAACUUGAGUGCAAGAGGGGAGAGUGGAAUUCCAUGUGUAGCGGUGAAAUGCGUAGAUAUAUGGAGGAACACCGGUGGCGAAAGCGGCUCUCUGGCUUGUAACUGACGCUGAGGCUCGAAAGCGUGGGGAGCAAACAGGAUUAGAUACCCUGGUAGUCCACGCUGUAAACGAUGAGUGCUAGGUGUUAGACCCUUNUGGUGCGUUAUUUCUUGUUUUUCUAUCCUAAACUUUACUUCUAUAAAAGUCACCUAAAGAGCCAUAAAUAUUUAUUCUUGUAUUAAUUUUUUCGAUGCGCAAACGAUAUCUACAAAUACAUCUAUAACGAUUCACCUUUUAGGAUUUUUAUUGUCAAAAUUGCCUUUAUCUACAAAGACAAAAUGCUUAUAAAAUAGCUUGAAAUCAAGGAUUAUCACCUUUUUCGUUGUAGCAACACUCCACAUGUGAUUAUUAGGCUAUUAGCAAAGCGUAUCCAAUACCUCAAUAAAGUGUUGUUUUUACUGAUAUUUUAACUAUAUUGUAUAGUCUACUAUUUAAAUCUCAAUUAGGAUAUUUUAUAGAAUACCCAAAAUUCAACAAUAACUAAAAGUAAGAUUCCAUUGUAUUUCCUUGUUGGUCUUUCAUAUCACGAAUUUUAUUUUUCAGAAUAUUAAAGUUACAAAUUUCAUCUCUAAUAUCGUUAUCCGCUCUGUAGCCAUUAAUCAUCUCAGUCAGAGUUUUCCCUUUACUACCAUUCUUUAUAGUAGUAUUUACUCUUUUUAUACUGCUUUCAAAAGGCUCAUAUGUUUUAUACUUAAUUACUUCGUCUUUAAAAUUAAAUAAAGGUGUAUCCGGCUUAGCAUUCCAUAAAAUAAUCAACCACAUUAUAGCAUUAUAAAGCUGCUUUGCAGUUUCAUUCCACUUUUCAGGUUAUAAAUUUCCACUCCCUGUAUUGUCAUAUUCUUGUCUAUUAUUUACAUGAGAAUCACCUACAAGCGGAUUAAAAAGAGGUAGCCCUUUGUGAUUAAUUAGUUCUAAAAAAUCCCUUGCCGCACCCAUGCAACACUGAAUA